GAGUUUGAUCGUGGCUCAGGACGAACGCUGGCGGCGCGCCUAACACAUGCAAGUCGAACGGAGUCAAGAGGAGCUUGCUUUUCUUGACUUAGUGGCGAACGGGUGAGUAACGCGUGAGUAACCUGCCCUGGAGUGGGGGACAACAGUUGGAAACGACUGCUAAUACCGCAUAAGCCCACGAUCCGGCAUCGGAUUGAGGGAAAAGGAUUUAUUCGCUUCAGGAUGGACUCGCGUCCAAUUAGCUAGUUGGUGAGGUAACGGCCCACCAAGGCGACGAUUGGUAGCCGGACUGAGAGGUUGAACGGCCACAUUGGGACUGAGACACGGCCCAGACUCCUACGGGAGGCAGCAGUGGGGGAUAUUGCACAAUGGGGGAAACCCUGAUGCAGCGACGCCGCGUGGAGGA
rnacentral:rRNA from 1 species